rnacentral:lncRNA from 1 species
GCCCAGAGGUCCUCAACAUAGAAAGCCACCUGGCCCGGGGGUGGGUUGUUAACCCGACCAUCGGCCCCAGGGGCGAACGUCGAAACUGCUUCGGGAUGCUGUACUGCUCCCGGAGCUGAUCGAUGUUCGAAUCCGAAAGUGAAGAGACCUCCACCUCCGAGGUCGAUCGAGAAUCAUCGGUCGGGUUCCCCGACCGACUUCCUCGUGGGGAAGUUCUGGCCAUGAUGCUAGAACCAAGGUCGAAGGAUGAAGAAGAAGAAGAAGGAAGAAAAUUCCAAGGAAGCAAAGAGAAAAUGAGAAGACAAAGACGAAGGCUCCUGGAAAACUUUCUAAGGAGGGAGGCGGGGACAACUACCUGAGAUAAAGGGGGAUCACUCGACCAGAGUCUCGGCAACAGGGCUACGAAAAGUGGAGUUUUGGAUGCAGGUGGUCCUAUAUAUAUAAUGCCCCUC